rnacentral:rRNA from 1 species
UACGUAGGGGGCAAGCGUUGUCCGGAAUCACUGGGCGUAAAGCGCACGUAGGCGGAUUGCUAAGUCAGGGGUGAAAUCCUGGAGCUCAACUCCAGAACUGCCUUUGAUACUGGCGAUCUCGAGUCCGGGAGAGGUGAGUGGAACUGCGAGUGUAGAGGUGGAAUUCGUAGAUAUUCGCAAGAACACCAGUGGCGAAGGCGGCUCACUGGCCCGGUACUGACGCUGAGGCGCGAAAGCGUGGGGAGCAAACAGG